rnacentral:rRNA from 1 species
UACGUAGGGUGCAAGCGUUAAUCGGAAUACUGGGCGUAAAGCGUGCGCAGGCGGUUUUGUAAGUCUGUCGUGAAAUCCCCGGGCUCAACCUGGGAAUUGCGAUGGAGACUGCAAGGCUAGAAUCUGGCAGAGGGGGGGGGUAGAAUUCCAUGUGUAGCAGUGAAAUGCGUAGAGAUGUGGAGGAACACCGAUGGCGAAGGCAGCCCCCUGGGUCAAGAUUGACGCUCAUGCACGAAAGGCGUGGG